rnacentral:rRNA from 1 species
CACUAUCGUUAACUGAAUACAUAGGUUAACGAGGCGAACCGGGGGAACUGAAACAUCUAAGUACCCCGAGGAAAAGAAAUCAACCGAGAUUCCCCCAGUAGCGGCGAGCGAACGGGGAGCAGCCCAGAGUCUGAAUCAGCUUGUGUGUUAGUGGAACGGUCUGGAAAGUCCGACGGUACAGGGUGAUAGUCCCGUACACCAAAAUGCACAGGCUGUGAACUCGAAGAGUAGGGCGGGACACGUGGUAUCCUGUCUGAAUAUGGGGGGACCAUCCUCCAAGGCUAAAUACUCCUGACUGACCGAUAGUGAACCAGUACCGUGAGGGAAAGGCGAAAAGAACCCCGGCGAGGGGAGUGAAAAAGAACCUGAAACCGUGUACGUACAAGCAGUGGGAGCACCUUCGGGUGUGACUGCGUACCUUUUGUAUAAUGGGUCAGCGACUUAUAUUCUGUAGCAAGGUUAACCGUAUAGGGGAGCCGCAGGGAAACCGAGUCUUAACUGGGCGUUAAGUUGCAGGGUAUAGACCCGAAACCCGGUGAUCUAGCCAUGGGCAGGUUGAAGGUUGGGUAACACUAACUGGAGGACCGAACCGACUAAUGUUGAAAAAUUAGCGGAUGACUUGUGGCUGGGGGUGAAAGGCCAAUCAAACCGGGAGAUAGCUGGUUCUCCCCGAAAGCUAUUUAGGUAGCGCCUCGUGAAUUCAUCUUCGGGGGUAGAGCACUGUUUCGGCUAGGGGGUCAUCCCGACUUACCAACCCGAUGCAAACUACGAAUACCGAAGAAUGUUAUCACGGGAGACACACGGCGGGUGCUAACGUCCGUCGUGAAGAGGGAAACAACCCAGACCGCCAGCUAAGGUCCCAAAGUCAUGGUUAAGUGGGAAACGAUGUGGGAAGGCACAGACAGCCAGGAUGUUGGCUUAGAAGCAGCCAUCAUUUAAAGAAAGCGUAAUAGCUCACUGGUCGAGUCGGCCUGCGCGGAAGAUGUAACGGGGCUAAACCAUGCACCGAAGCUGCGGCAGCGACACUAUGUGUUGUUGGGUAGGGGAGCGUUCUGUAAGCCUGCGAAGGUGACCUGUGAGGGUUGCUGGAGGUAUCAGAAGUGCGAAUGCUGACAUAAGUAACGAUAAAGCGGGUGAAAAGCCCGCUCGCCGGAAGACCAAGGGUUCCUGUCCAACGUUAAUCGGGGCAGGGUGAGUCGACCCCUAAGGCGAGGCCGAAAGGCGUAGUCGAUGGGAAACAGGUUAAUAUUCCUGUACUUGGUGUUACUGCGAAGGGGGGACGGAGAAGGCUAUGUUAGCCGGGCGACGGUUGUCCCGGUUUAAGCAUGUAGGCUGGUUGUCCAGGCAAAUCCGGAUAAUCAAGGCUGAGGUGUGAUGACGAGGUACUACGGUGCUGAAGUAACAAAUGCCCUGCUUCCAGGAAAAGCCUCUAAGCAUCAGGUAACAUUAAAUCGUACCCCAAACCGACACAGGUGGUCAGGUAGAGAAUACCAAGGCGCUUGAGAGAACUCGGGUGAAGGAACUAGGCAAAAUGGUGCCGUAACUUCGGGAGAAGGCACGCUGGUGUGUAGGUGAAGUCCCUGCGGAUGGAGCUGAGACCAGUCGAAGAUACCAGCUGGCUGCAACUGUUUAUUAAAAACACAGCACUGUGCAAACACGAAAGUGGACGUAUACGGUGUGACGCCUGCCCGGUGCCGGAAGGUUAAUUGAUGGGGUUAUCCGUAAGGAGAAGCUCUUGAUCGAAGCCCCGGUAAACGGCGGCCGUAACUAUAACGGUCCUAAGGUAGCGAAAUUCCUUGUCGGGUAAGUUCCGACCUGCACGAAUGGCGUAAUGAUGGCCAGGCUGUCUCCACCCGAGACUCAGUGAAAUUGAACUCGCUGUGAAGAUGCAGUGUACCCGCGGCAAGACGGAAAGACCCCGUGAACCUUUACUAUAGCUUGACACUGAACAUUGAGCCUUGAUGUGUAGGAUAGGUGGGAGGCUUUGAAGCGUGGACGCCAGUCUGCGUGGAGCCAACCUUGAAAUACCACCCUUUAAUGUUUGAUGUUCUAACGUUGGCCCCUUACCGGGGUUGCGGACAGUGUCUGGUGGGUAGUUUGACUGGGGCGGUCUCCUCCCAAAGCGUAACGGAGGAGCACGAAGGUUAGCUAAUCCUGGUCGGACAUCAGGAGGUUAGUGCAAUGGCAUAAGCUAGCUUGACUGCGAGCGUGACGGCGCGAGCAGGUGCGAAAGCAGGUCAUAGUGAUCCGGUGGUUCUGAAUGGAAGGGCCAUCGCUCAACGGAUAAAAGGUACUCCGGGGAUAACAGGCUGAUACCGCCCAAGAGUUCAUAUCGACGGCGGUGUUUGGCACCUCGAUGUCGGCUCAUCACAUCCUGGGGCUGAAGUAGGUCCCAAGGGUAUGGCUGUUCGCCAUUUAAAGUGGUACGCGAGCUGGGUUUAGAACGUCGUGAGACAGUUCGGUCCCUAUCUGCCGUGGGCGCUGGAGAAUUGAGGGGGGCUGCUCCUAGUACGAGAGGACCGGAGUGGACGCAUCACUGGUGUUCGGGUUGUCAUGCCAAUGGCACUGCCCGGUAGCUAAAUGCGGAAGAGAUAAGUGCUGAAAGCAUCUAAGCACGAAACUUGCCCCGAGAUGAGUUCUCCCUGAGACUUUAAGUCUCCUGAAGGAACGUUAAAGACGAUGACGUUGAUAGGCCGGGUGUGUAAGCGCAGCGAUGCGUUGAGCUAACCGGUACUAAUGAACCGUGAGGCUUAACCUU